rnacentral:lncRNA from 1 species
AAGGGGUAUAACAGGCUAUUUAUAGCCCUCUUCAGGGACCAAAUGCUGCAGAUGGUUGCACUCGUGAAGAGUCACCCCUCAUCAAGGUAACCUUUUACUGCUGUGAAAUUACCUCAAUGCCCUUGUGAUUAUCAGGAUUUACAAGUGACACUUGUCAAGAUGUGGGUUCUAAUUAAACGGAAUCAGGGUUUAAUUAAACAGGAUCCAAUAUUCUCCCACUUGGACCAUAUUGACGCCAUUUGUCAAUGUGGGCCACAACUUGACGGGAUCCCAACAUUUUCCCACUUGGACCAUAUUGACAAGUGAAAUAUUUUUAGCACUUGAAUUUUAUAAUCUUUAUACGCGUAUUCUUUCUAUUCUGAUAUCAUUUUGGGCAAACUUUAUGUUUGACUACUUUGAGAAUAAUAAUACGAACCAUGGCGAAAAUAACACCUAUUUGAUUAGCGUAUAACCUUCCAUGAUCACUAAAUUACUAAACCAUCA